rnacentral:rRNA from 1 species
ACGAACGCUGGCGGCGUGGAUAAGACAUGCAAGUCGAACGGGACAGAGUGGUAGCAAUAUCAAUCUGUUCAGUGGCGAACGGGUGCGUAACACGUGGGUAACAUACCGGAAAGUGAGAAAUAGCCCAGGGAAACUUGGAUUAAUAUCUCAUGUGGUCGCAAGACUAAAGGCAGGGCAACCUGUCGCUUUCCGAUUGGCCUGCGGCCUAUCAGCUAGUUGGUGAGGUAAAAGCUCACCAAGGCGUCGACGGGUAGCUGGUCUGAGAGGACGAUCAGCCACACUGGAACUGAGACACGGUCCAGACACCUACGGGUGGCAGCAGUCGAGAAUCUUUCACAAUGGGGGCAACCCUGAUGGAGCGACGCCGCGUGGAGGUUAAGGUCUUCGGAUUGUAAACUCCUGUCAUGCGAGAACAAAGCCCUCACGGGUGUGAUAGUAUCGCAAGAGGAAGAGACGGCUAACUCUGU